rnacentral:rRNA from 1 species
CUACGGGGGGCUCCAGUGAGGAAUCUUGGACAAUGGGCGAAAGCCUGAUCCAGCGACGCCGCGUGGGUGACGAAGGCCUUCGGGUUGUAAAGCCCUGUCAGAGGGGAAGAAGUUCUGACGGUACCCUCAGAGGAAGCACAGGCUAACUCCGUGCCAGCAGCCGCGGGAAUACGGAGUGUGCAAGCGUUGCUCGGAAUCACUGGGCGUAAAGGGCGCGUAGGCGGCUUGGUAAGUUGGAUGUGAAAGCCCUCGGCUCAACCGAGGAACUGCAUCCAAAACUGCCUGGCUAGAGUACGGAAGAGGAAGGCGGAAUUCCCAGUGUAGGGGUGAAAUCCGUAGAUAUUGGGAAGAACACCAGUGGCGAAGGCGGCCUUCUGGGACGAUACUGACGCUGAGGCGCGAAAGCGUGGGGAGCAAACAGGAUUAGAUACCCGGGUAGUC